rnacentral:rRNA from 1 species
UUUGGUUCGGAACAACACAGGGAAACUUGUGCUAAUACCGGAUAAGCCCUUACGGGGAAAGAUUUAUCGCCGAAAGAUCGGCCCGCGUCUGAUUAGCUAGUUGGUGAGGUAAUGGCUCACCAAGGCGACGAUCAGUAGCUGGUCUGAGAGGAUGAUCAGCCACAUUGGGACUGAGACACGGCCCAAACUCCUACGGGAGGCAGCAGUGGGGAAUAUUGGACAAUGGGGGCAACCCUGAUCCAGCCAUGCCGCGUGAGUGAUGAAGGCCCUAGGGUUGUAAAGCUCUUUUGUGCGGGAAGAUAAUGACGGUACCGCAAGAAUAAGCCCCGGCUAACUUCGUGCCAGCAGCCGCGGUAAUACGAAGGGGGCUAGCGUUGCUCGGAAUCACUGGGCGUAAAGGGUGCGUAGGCGGGUCUUUAAGUCAGGGGUGAAAUCCUGGAGCUCAACUCCAGAACUGCCUUUGAUACUGAAGAUCUUGAGUCCGGGAGAGGUGAGUGGAACUGCGAGUGUAGAGGUGAAAUUCGUAGAUAUUCGCAAGAACACCAGUGGCGAAGGCGGCUCACUGGCCCGGUACUGACGCUGAGGCACGAAA